rnacentral:rRNA from 1 species
UACGAAGGGGGCUAGCGUUGUUCGGAUUUACUGGGCGUAAAGGGCGCGUAGGCGGCCUCCGCAAGUCGACUGUGAAAUCUCCGGGCUUAACCCGGAACGGUCAGCCGAUACUGCGGGGCUAGAGUGCAGAAGGGGCAACUGGAAUUCUCGGUGUAGCGGUGAAAUGCGUAGAUAUCGAGAGGAACACCUGCGGCGAAGGCGGGUUGCUGGGCUGACACUGACGCUGAUGCGCGAAAGCUAGGGGAGCGAACGGG